CACAAUUGUGUUGACGUCACAUUUCUCAGGGAGAUGAAUCAGUCAGUCUGACUUCGGGAAACAGACAACACAGCCGUACGCUUCAGACAACUUGCUCAAGUAAGAUGUCGGAGACAGCUGCAGCGACGUUCAACUACUUGGCGGGGUAUCUCGCCGCUAUGUACCGGCGCCUCCCAGCAGCCGUCACCAGAGUCUGCAACGUGGUGUACAGCACCCUGGGGUCCGGCUCCACCCUCCUGGUCCAGGGGAUGCAGGGUGCACGGCGGCGCUUCUGCUUCAUGGUGGGCUGGACGAAAAAGAAGGCCAAGUGAACGUCUCUUGAUUUCCGACCUGAUGCAACUCCUACAGUUUUCUCCUGUAUGGUGUAUAUGGGAAUUUCCUUGUUUGUUCUACGAAACAUAUGGUGUUAAUGUCAUAAUUAAACUUUCAUUGUCAUAGUCA